CCUGCUUGAAAACACUUCAUCCAUUAUCUCCAAACAAUCAUGUUGACUUUCAGUAGUCUGGGGCAGAAGGGUAGCUUGAUUCAAAUUAUUGACAGUUUUGAGGUGUACUCUUGGAUUUUCACAUAACAUAGCUUGAUAUUUGGUCAUUCGACUGUUGCUAAACCAAUGAUUUCCUUUGUAAUCCAAUAGGGUCUGUACUGCAUGGGGUACUCGCACAUAGAGUUCCUGACCCAAUGUGAGCUUGUCAGCUUCUGCUACCAACAGAGCAGCGGCAGCCACUGCUCGCAGACAAGGUGGAAGACCACUGACCACUGCAUCCAACUGUUUGGACAUAUAAGCUACAGGUCUUUGCCAUGAUCCCAGAUCAAUACUCCCACAGCCAUUCUUCUUUG